rnacentral:tRNA from 1 species
GAGGGGAUAGCUCAGUGGUAGAGUGCAUGCCUAGCAAGCAUGAGGUCCUGGGUUCAAUCCCCAGUACCUCCA